UCUCCAACACAGAUUGCUUUGCAAGACUGAUUGUGUUUGGACUGUGGUUAAGGCGGUGAACUGAUUGUCUUCAAUCAAAGCAGGAAGAAGAAAAGACUCUUCCUUUGAACCCAGAAGGAAUCCCCUGAGCCCUUUAUCUUUGUAUUAAGAAGCCUUUUGAAGAUUAUAGGUGGAGAAGACUGUGAACUCUCAAGAACAAGAAAUGUCUUUGGUUUUUGAAGUUUGAUAAAUUGGGAAAGUCUCUUCAGAACCCUGGCCAUGGAAGACUCAGUACCAGGAAAAAGUCUCUAUAUAUCAGACUCCCUGGCUCUCAGAAGACAGUCUGAAGAAGACGAAACCACAUCCCAGUUAAGUUCUCUGUUUGAUCCAGAGAAAGCAGGCAGCUCUAGGCACUCACUCUGAGCCUGCUGGAAUUGUACUGGACUGAAGCUCCCUGCCAAGGCCCUGCGGAGCCUCAGACAUGUUUAUUAGACCCACCAGGGAGCUUAAGAAGGUUCUGGAAUGAGUCCCUCUGGCCAGACAGCUGCCCCCCACCUUCCAGCCCCUGCACAGGACUUGGCCCUCAGCACCCCUCUACACUCAGACCUGCGGAAGCCGCCUCUCCCUUGGUUAUCUCAGGGCCUGCCUGUUUGACAAGAAUUUCUGAGCUGGUCGUGUCAGUCACAGAAUAAAAAGCACUGAACUGGCCCACAAUUUCUUUUGCAUCCCAGGCAUCCAGCCAUGACCAGCCAGAUUUUCUAACUUGUCAGACUCACUGAGGCCCUGGUAGACCACAUGGUUGCCAUGGUUUUCUAGAGGGACUUUAUCUGAGGUGGCCUUGCUUUCUGGACUUUCUCAGGGGACCGGGUAGACGGUUCCAUUCCUUCCUGUUUCCUCCUUGUCUUUGUAUCCAUCGGGUCGGCUUCUGAAAGCGCUGUCCCCUUUCUUGGGCCACCUUGGCACCCGUGUCCUCCUUGAGGCCACACCAGGCAGUCUCACAAGAGCCGCGUGUUUUGAACAGGGCAAUUCUUAAUAAAUGUGAUAACCACGA